GGAGGGAGAUGAAAUAUAAUUUGUCAUUUCACAGAAAAUGGGAAGUAGGCUGGGUGGGACAUGGGUAUUUUGUGUUUGGAAGUGACGUGGAAACUGCACUGUGGCUGAAUAAUACACGAUCACCCUGAGAUCAAAGGGAUAUGCAGCCCUUUCCACAUUCAGAUGUAUGUGUCUGAAUAUGGAAGAGUUAACCAAGAUGAAUGAUGUUAUCCAGGUACCACUCUGCCCCUAAAGAAACAGUGUCUCUCUAAGAGGAAUCACACAGGGAAAGUUCAUUUGCUUGCUCCCUCCUUGCUUCCUGACAGGAAGUCAGCUGUCAGCCAGCCAGCCAGGAAGACAACCCUCCUCCCGACCUGGCUACACUUGUACCCUCACCUUGCUUUCCACUCUCCAAAACUGUGAGAAAUUUCACGAUGACAUCCUAAACUGAAAAUUACACAGAGAAGAAAGAAAGUGUAUUUAUACAGCCUUGUAUGGUAACAAGCCACUUUGAAAAGUA
rnacentral:sRNA from 1 species